rnacentral:rRNA from 1 species
GAUCAACGCUGGCGGCGUGCAUAACACAUGCAAGUCGAACGAUGAAGAUUAAAAGAUUUCUUCGGAAUGAACUUAAUUGGAUUAGUGGCGGACGGGUGAGUAACGCGUGAGUAACCUGCCUUGUACAAGGGGAUAGCCGUUGGAAACGACGAAUAAUACCCUAUGACAUCAAAUAAUCGCAUGAUAAUUUGAUCAAAGAUUUAUCGGUAUAAGAUGGACUCGCGUCUGAUUAGCUAGUUGGUAGAGUAAAAGCCUACCAAGGCAACGAUCAGUAGCCGGCUUGAGAGAGUGUACAGCCACAUUGGGACUGAGACACGGCCCAGACUCCUACGGGAGGCAGCAGUGGGGAAUUUUGCACAAUGGGGGAAACCCUGAUGCAGCGACGCCGCGUGAUUUAGAAGGCCUUCGGGUUGUAAAAAUCUUUUGUAUGGGAAGAAAAUGACAGUACCAUACGAAUAAGGACCGGCUAAUUACGUG